CCUACGGGAGGCAGCAGUGGGGAAUAUUGCGCAAUGGGCGAAAGCCUGACGCAGCGACGCCGCGUGAGGGAUGAAGGUCUUCGGAUCGUAAACCUCUGUUAGCAGGGAAGAACGGUCACUGUGCUAAUCAGCAGUGAAUUGACGGUACCUGCAAAGGAAGCACCGGCUAACUCCGUGCCAGCAGCCGCGGUAAUACGGAGGGUGCGAGCGUUAAUCGGAAUUACUGGGCGUAAAGCGAUCGUAGGCGGUAUGUCAAGUCAAGGGUGAAAUCCCCGGGCUCAACGUGGGAAGUGCCUUUGAAACUGGCAGACUGGAGUGUGUGAGAGGUAAGUGGAAUUCCAGGUGUAGGAGUGAAAUCCGUAGAUAUCUGGAGGAACAUCAAUGGCGAAGGCAGCUAUCUGGCACAUAACUGACGCUGAGGAGCGAAAGCGUGGGUAGCAAACAGGAUUAGAUACCCCAGUAGUC
rnacentral:rRNA from 1 species